rnacentral:snRNA from 1 species
UAGUGUUACAGCUCUUUUAGAAUUUGUCUAGCAGGUUUUCUGGUUUUAGCUGAAAAACCCUA